rnacentral:misc_RNA from 1 species
UGGUUCUGGCAUCGAUGAAGAACGCAGCGAAAUGCGAUAAGUAAUGUGAAUUGCAGAAUUUAGUGAAUCAUCGAAUCUUUGAACGCACAUUGCGCCCUUUGGUAUUCCGAGGGGCAUGCCUGUUCGAGCGUCAUUACAACCCUCAAGCUCUGCUUGGUAUUCAGCACCGUCUCUACGACAGGCUGUAAAGGUAGUGGCGGUCAGUAGCUGGCUCCAAGCGUAGUAAAAUCUCUCGCUACGGAGCUUGGCUAUGGACCUGCUAACCAAUCACUUUUUACAGGUUGACCUCGGAUCAGGUAGGGAUACCCGCUGA